rnacentral:misc_RNA from 1 species
AUUGAAUCCACCGGCGCCCUUCCUCUCUUCCCUCUUACACUCAUUGCGCAGGUCGCACGGCGCAGUGCUUCUUUCUAGUUUUUCUUUUCCUGCUCUCCUUGGGCGCCAAAAAACAGACGCGCGCAGCUCCGACAGCAUGCGAGGCCGCGGACGUUCACCUGGAAGUCGCGGCCGUGGCGGCGGCGGACAGCAUUUCUAUGGCGCACGAGGCGGGUAUCGUGGCGAGGGUUGCGGCGGCAGAGCUGCACACGCGCCUCGGGGUACCGACUCGGCCGCGCAGGCGUCCGAUGAGCUCUUGGAGAACACAUCUUUGUUCUUCAGCGGCCUGACGGGCGGGCGCGGCGUGGCGCGGGCAGCACCCACGACUAACGGCGCCGCCGCCUCCUCGUCUUUGGCGUCUCCAUCGUCGCGGCUCUCCUCGGCAAUACCGUCGGAGGGCGGCGACGGGCCUGUGCAGUGGUGCAUGACCGGGGCUGCUCGCGCGGCUGCGGCCAUCGAGGGCAGCGAGCAGACACAGGAGAAGAUCAUGUGGCUGGAGCUGGGGCUGUGCAAGGCUCUCAUCCGCGCUGUGUCGCACCUGGGGUACAUUUCUCCCACACCAGUGCAGGCGGAAGCCAUUCCUGCGGCGCUGCGCGGGGCCGACGUGUGCGCGCGAGCCGUCACGGGAUCCGGCAAAACCGCUGCCUUCCUGCUACCGCUGGCGCACCUGCUCCUCACGCGGCAGCCGCAGAAAGCAACCACGCUGAACAGUCGACGCCGCUUCAUCCGGGCCGUUGUGCUGCUGCCGACGCGGGAGCUCGGUGUGCAGUGCCAAGACAUGCUAGCGCAGCUCCUCCAGUUCACUUCGGGGCUGACGGUGGCGCUGGCCAUCGGCGGCGUCGCGCCUGCCGCGCAGGAGGCCGCGCUGGAUGCGGUGCCGGAUAUCCUGGUGGCAACCCCUGGCCGGCUCGUCGAUUACAUUCACAACUACAAGAACGGGGCCGGCCUUGACCUGACCGGGGUGGAGGUGCUGGUGCUGGAUGAGUGCGACAAGAUGCUGACGGUCACUCUGCAGGAUCAAGUGCUGGACAUCCUGCAGCACAUCCCGGAAGAGACGCGCCAGGUGCUCAUGUUCUCUGCCACCAUGACGAAGGAGGUGGACGAGUUCGCCAAAGAGCACCUCUUCAAGCCCAUCAACGUCGACAUCGGCCACAUCGCCUUGCAGUCGAAGCUCCGGCAGCAGUUUGUGCGCAUCCGCACCACCCCUGUGACGUUGACUUCGACUGCCGACGACGUAGAUGCCGCCGCCGUCUCCACUGCAGAGGCGGCAGCGAAGGACGGCGAGACGCCGCGUGAAAAGCGGCUGCGCCAGAAGCGGAGCCGGGCAGAGCGGGCGUCGGCUGACGACGCAGAUGACGGGCGGGACGACGCUUCCGCCGUGGAAAGCGAUCAGGAGCAUAUCGCCAAGGUCAAGACGCGCUACCUCGUUGCCCUUUGCCAGAACUACCUAAAAGACAAGACGAUCAUCUUCUGCCGCUACCGCACCACCACGCAUCGACUAGCUCUCGUGUUCAACGCACUGGGCCUACCUGCCGCGGAGAUCCAGGGCAAUCAGCUGCAGGAAGAGCGCUUUCAGGCCUUCGAGAAGUUUGCGCGCAGCGAGGUGCGGUACCUCAUCACCACGGACGUGGCGUCGCGCGGGCUCGACAUUCAAGGAGUGGCCACGGUGCUCAACUACGACUUGCCGCCGACUCUCACUGCCUACAUCCACCGCGUGGGGCGCACCGCGCGCAUUGGGCAGACCGGCACCGCGGUGUCCCUCGUGCAUGAAGUCGAGGACGCCGACAUCAUGCGCAAGAUCCUCUCGGUGAGCGGUGCCAUCAACGAACAUCAGGUAGCGACUGUGAAGCGCCGCGAUGUGCCGGAUGCGCUGUUGGCCAAGGCGGCCAAAGACAUCGACGACAUUUUCCCGCAGGUGCGCGCACAGCUGGCGGCCGAGCAGCUUGAGGAGAAGAUUGCCCAGGCUGAGAAGCGCUACGGCACGGCCAGCGACGGCUUCCUCAACGAGGUGACGACAAAGGCGAAGCGGGAGUGGUGCCUCAGCCCCGAGGAGCGCAAAAAACGCGACGAGGAGGCACGCCGUCUGUACGAGAAGGAGGCGGAGGUGACUAUCAACCACUUCCAGAAUGAGCUGUCGAACUUGGAGCGGGAGGAGACGGAGAUUCUGCAGCGUCAGCGCAAGGUGCGCCGCGUGGAGCGGGAAAAGAAGAUGCACGAGGCGAGCAAGAUCAAGGCCCGCGCGCGCGAGCUGCGCGCGAAGAGCGAGAAGAAGAUCCAAGCCGGCGUUGUGAAGAAGCUCAAGCAGCGAAGGAUCCGCCAGGCUGCCAAGGAGCGGCGUGCCGAGGCUCGCGCGCAGAAGGGCGUUGCUCCCUACAGGCACGGUGACGGUAAGCAGCGCAACAAGAAGUCUCGCCAUAAGAAGCGCAUGAAGAAGCACUGAGAAGGCAGCAGUGGCGGCGGACAUCGGCAGGCGUAGACGUGGGUCGCGGCGAAGAGGCAGAGGAGGCUGAGAAGGGCGGUGGCGACGCGGAGUUGCUAGUGUCUCUAUGUGUCUCGUUGCGUGUGUGCAUCUUUUCUGGAGCUAUCGGGUGCUCUCUUGUGCCGUGCCGCGAGUCGGCCCUCUCCCCCACGAGGGAUGCACGCUCGUCUCCUCUGUUCGCUCGGCCUUUGUUUGAUCCACCUCCCGCGCUUCCUCCAUACACCUGCCCACUCGCACCGCCCACGCAUGCAGGGUAUGCGGGCACAAUCGUAUAAUCACCUGUACUACCAGUGCAGCCAUUAAGUGGGAAGGAGGGGCACUCUUGAUAGUGGCGGCUGUGCAAGUCCUGAAACGUUGCCCAUGCUGCCCUUCUGUCCGCCUAUCUCUCCGCUCCUGCACAUCACGAGGCCGUGCAGGGAGACCGGCGCCUCCCCCUCCCUCCCUCCCUCCAAACGCGUAAGACACGACU